AAAAAGACAAACCCUAGAUUUCCGUGCCAACAUUUGACCGCCCGUCUUAUAUGAAAUUUUUUUAUAAUUAGUAUUUUUAUUGUUGUUAGAUGAUAAAACAUGAUUAAUACUUUAUGCGUGACUUAUCUUUUUAAUUUUUUUUCAUAAUUUUUUUAAAUAAGACGGACGGUCAAACGUUGGACACUGGAACCAGGGUCUGUCUUUUUU
rnacentral:pre_miRNA from 1 species